AUUUACAGCCAUAUCACCCUGCAGCCCAAGACCGGUUACUCACUGAAGCUAGGCAGGGCUGAGCCUGGUCGUUACCUGGAUGGGAGACCACAUGAGAAAACUAGAUUGCUGUUGGAG
rfam:Danio rerio chromosome 6 genomic contig CTG531, GRCz11 reference primary assembly.